CCCAAAACAAAAUAUCUGAAAACCCUAUCUCUUUUCUUUUCAAGCCACUCUCCCCUCUCACACUUCCCCGAUCCAUCUCCUUCUCUCUCUCCUGCUCAAAACACCAGCAGCUGGGGGCUUCAACUACGACGGCGAGGGGCCAUAUGAGGCUUCAACAACGGUGGAGGUCGACGGGGCUGACAGAGGCUCAACGGGACUGCUGGAGGCUUGACGACGCAGACUCAAAUUCGUUGGUGCAGGUAACGAUCUCUCUCUCUCUCUGUAGUUGACCGACAACUGGGUUGCGUAGGCUGGAGAUGGUGGUGCGACGGGGUGCCAUGGGUGUUCAGUCCACGGCUCUGUGUGGUGUUGUCUUCUCCAAAGCCGACCACACUCCUCCAGUCGACGGUACACCGACGCUCCUCGAGCCGUGCGAAGCCACUGCUCGCCACCGUUAUUGGCCCCAAGCUGAAGAGACUGAAGUUGAGAAAAAACAACUGGAGCUCGGAAUCUUAUAGAUUUGAUGAAGUUUUUACAGACACUGCCUCCCAAAGGCGAGUUUACUAAGCGGUUGCCAAGCCUGUAGUUGAGAGUGUCUUGAAUGGAUAUAAUGGAACAGUUAUGGCUUACGGUCAAACAGGUACUGGUAAAACUUACACACUCAGCAGGCUGGGUAAAGAUGAUACGUCUGAGUGUGGUAUAAUGGCCAGAGCUCUGGAGGACAUACUUUCUUGUACAUCUCUUGGUUUUGAUAGUGUGGAAAUUUCCUACUUUCAGGAAAAGGCAAGGGCAAGAUUGAUCAACCCUGAAUGGAGAGCUCUGCAAGGUGAAUGUACAUGUCAGGCUGCUCAGCCGCUACGGUUGAGGAAAUUAUAGGGACAAGAGGACCAGCACCUUGAAUUUCGCCUUAGUAUGACUAAUGUUUACCUUUAACUGUUGAAUUUUGUAAACCAACUUUUAAACAUUGUACUUUUGGGGAUCCCUUCUAUAAAUGGUUUAUAAUCUAUAAAAUGUUUCUUUUGUGGCCAAAA